rnacentral:rRNA from 1 species
CCCUUAGAUGUCCUGGGCCGCACGCGUGCUACACUGACGCAUACAGCGAGCACUUUCCAGUUCCGAGAGGCUACCGGUAAUCAUCAAUAUGCGUCGUGAUGGGGAUAGAUCUUUGGAAUUCUGGAUCUUGAACGAGGAAUGCCUAGUAAUCGCAGGUCAUUAGCCUGCGAUGAUUAAGUCCCUGCCCUUUGUACACACCGCCCGUCGCUACUACCGAUUUCGAGUGGUCAGGUGAAUCUUUCGGACUGUGGGCGCCCUUGAGGUGUUCGCGGAAAGUCAGGUAAAUCUUAUCACUUAGAGGAAGUAAAAGUCGUAACA